ensembl:miRNA MIR124-3 microRNA 124-3
UCCCGCAAGCCCCGCUCGCCGCCUGCCCUGCUCCGAGCGGGGACAGCCCGAGCCCCUCUCUGCGUGUUCACAGCGGACCUUGAUUUAAUGUCCAUACAAUUAAGGCACGCGGUGAAUGCCAAGAGAGGAGC